GACGAACGCUGGCGGCGUGCUUAACACAUGCAAGUCGAGCGGUGCGGCGAACGGGUGAGUAACGUGCGAGUAACUGCCCCCCUCUCUGGGAUAACAGUUCGAAACGGCUGCUAAUACCGGAUAGUGGGGGAUGACUCGCGUCCUAUCAGCUUGUUGGUGGGGGAGUGGCCUACCAAGGUGACGACGGGUAGUCGGCCUGAGAGGGCGACCGGCCACAUGAGGCUGAGAUACGGCCCAAACAGCUACGGGGGACAGUAGUGGGGAAUAGUGCACAAUGGGGGCAACUCUGAUGCGGAAACGACGGGGGCGGGAUGACGGCCUUCGGGUUAGAAACCGCUGUAAGCCAUGACGCGGUAGUGGCAGAAGAAGCACCGGCUAACUACGUGCCAGCAGCCGCGGUAAUUC
rnacentral:rRNA from 1 species